rnacentral:lncRNA from 1 species
UCUCUCUCACCCUCUCGAACACACGGGCAACCAUCAAAACCACCUAAAACUAUUACCAACGCCGGAUUUAAAACCACCAUUGCACUCCUGAGGACUCCACGAUCACGAUGGUAUCCAUUUCAGGUAAGUUUUGCUUCGGAAAACCCUAGUUUCAAAGUUCCCGUGAAAUGGUACUGUUCAUGAUCUUCUAAAUGACUACGUUUUAGGCUAAAACAAGAUCACAGCGAUCUUAGUGAGGUCCCAAGGAAGCUCGGAGUGCUUCGUUGGAAGUUUUUGGACGUAAGAACACGGAGAUCGACAAGUUCAAAGUUUGGCCGGAACUUUCGAGGCAUUUUCCGGCGAAUCCCCGGCGAGUUAGGAGUCGAGGUAGGUAUCAAUCUCUUCGUCUCGUCAAGUACUACAACUUUCCUUUUUGUUUCACUCAAUUUCGUUGAGUAUUGAAGAAGUUAUACUCAUUUGAAAAAUACCCAGUUUCCGGCGACCUCCGAGGCUUUCGAGGCAGUUUCCGGCCAAAACACGGCGAACUAGGUGUUUUGCAAGGUAUUAUUCUCUUUGUCUCUUCAAGGGCUACAACUUUCGUUUUUUGAAUCACUUGAUUUCGUUGAGAAAUGACAAAGUUAUGGCAAUUUGAAAAACGGCCGCCGGAAAAACCAGUCCGGCGACCCAAGGAAGAAGAUGAUGCGCGUGGGGGCGCGUGGGCCGUGCUUGUCUUGGCGCGUGGGGGCGCGUGCUACAGUAAAAAAAUUAUUUUAAAAAUAUGUCGACGUCCGUGACGUCGAGUAGAUCACUGUGGUAUAUUCAUAUACCUAAAUUGAACACCGUAUGAGAAAGUUAUUAAGGAUUGUUGGUUAGGUGUUCGAAUAACGUUUUAUAGUUUUCACAUUUAGGUAAAAAUGUGAAUUGACGAUCCGACCGUUGGAUCGUUACCAAACUUUGAUACGUUGUAAUACGUAAUAUUUGAGGAUUAUUGGAACUUACGGAUUGAGAAUCCGAGUUACAGAUCUUCCGGAAUUGGAAUUGUAAGUCCAUAAUAUAAAAUGUUAACCGUCACUUAGUUUUGGAAAUUGACGGAGAUCCGACCGUUGGAUGGUAAUGAAAUUUUAGGAGGUUAUCCUAGAGAUAUAUUGUGGACCUCUGGAAGUUAUGGAUUUAAAAUCUGAGUGGCAGAUCUUCCGGAUCGAUCUACGUAGGGACGUAUUUUAUAUAAGUUAUAUAUUCUAUCGAUAUGAAUUCUAAGGUUGGAUUUGAUUACUGUUCUAGGCGGCGAUCGUCAUGACGCCUUGAUGUGUGGUGCUAGGGAGUUGUUGGACGAACUCCAGGUGAGUGGGCAGUUUUGUUUUCCGUAUAUAUAUAUACUUGACAUUUCCCAGAAAUUGAAUUGAAAUGAAAAUAUGUUUAAAAUGAAAUGCAUAUGAGUUAUGUGGAAAAACGGGAAGUGAAAUACCAUGCAUAGAAUUGAUAUGAAAAGUAUAUAGAAAUGUGAGUUGAAAUGCC